rnacentral:tRNA from 1 species
CGCCGAGACGAAGCUCUGGGUCGAGAGCGACGCCUUGGUGAUCCCGAGCAACAAUGGCGUAUAUUUGGCGGGAUUCCCGCCCUCGGCGACCA